rnacentral:lncRNA from 1 species
CUGCAGGAGGUGAUGGUAAUGAGGGGUUUGGUUUUGUCGUUUUCUAAUCCAGCUCUUCUUCCUCAUCCUGGUGAACAGGCAGCUAGUCCAUGGAAAUCUUCCCACACUGGCUCUCACACAGGAUCUGACCCCCUGUGUGUAGCUGACGCUGUUGGGAAACUGCGGCUAGCGGCGCGAGAGAGUGGGAUACCCGACCCUAGAGCUACCUGACGCAGCCUGAAAGAGAGAGAGAAAGAGAGUGGGGGAGUGAUAGACGCUGAAAAAGAGCCAGAAACGACUCAAGCAUCUCAUUUAUUGGAAGGUACUGUGACGCUGCGUUUCUUUACCGUAUAUCUUGCCUCGCAGGGGCUAUAGCGGCAGUGUUCCCAACAUCGAAAAGACUAGAAAACUGCAAUUAUAGGCUGUGAGUUGAUGUUCAUAUCACUGCGUGCCAACAUAGCAGCCUAACUAGUUCACGAGUUCACUUACUGAGCCAAGUUUUGGUGUUAGUGAUUUGUAAUCCAAAAAUUCAUUCAUUCAACUAUGAUUAUUUUGCAUGAGUUUAUACUGUGCUGUAUACUAAUGUAUUCGGGAGUUUAAAAAAAUCCACAUAAG